rnacentral:sRNA from 1 species
GCUGAUCGCGCCCCGCCCCCGGCGCCAUCUUCCCGACCGCGAGCCGUCCAGGUCUCAGUGCUGUGGCCCCCCCAGAGCCUAGAGGAUGUUUCAUGGGAUCCCAGCCACUCCAGGCAUAGGAGCCCCUGGGAACAAGCCAGAGCUGUAUGAGGAAGUGAAGUUGUACAAGAACGCCCGGGAGCGGGAGAAGUACGACAACAUGGCAGAGCUGUUUGCGGUGGUGAAGACAAUGCAAGCCCUGGAGAAGGCCUACAUCAAGGACUGUGUCUCCCCCAGCGAGUAAGAGCCCACUUCCUGGGAGGCCUGUUCCUGCCCUACCGGGCCUGGGUGCUCCAUAGGCAGCAACAGCAGGCGUCUGGUCAGGCUGUGAGGCGCCCACUUGUGUGGAGCCUACCCAGUGUGAGGAAGGUGCCCCUGGGUCUCAGCCAGGGAAGUCCUGGGGGCUGGUGAGGGAGGCAGGCAGAGGGGCAGCUCCUGGGGUGUCAUCCGGCCCACUCCCCCAGCCUCAUCCCCCACCACACACAACCUUAAAAGACGGUCGAGAAGCUUGGGGAUGUCCCAGGAUGU